rnacentral:rRNA from 1 species
UAGUCCACGCCCUAAACGAUGGUCACUAGCCGUUCGGACUUCGGUCUGAGUGGCUAAGCGAAAGUGAUAAGUGACCCACCUGGGGAGUACGUUCGCAAGAUGAAACUACAAAGGAAUUGGACCGGGGGCCCGCACAAGCGGUGGAGCAUGUGGUUUAAUUCGAUGAUACGCGAGGAACCUUACCAGGGCUUAAAUGUAAGUUGCAUUAGCUAGAGAUAGUUAUUUCUUCGGACUACUUACAAGGUGCUGCAUGGUUGUCGUCAGCUCGUGCCGUGAGGUGUCAGGUUAAGUCCUAUAACGAGCGCAACCCCUGUUGUUAGUUGCCAGCGAUUUAAGUCGGGAACUCUAACAAGACUGCCAGUGCAAACUGUGAGGAAGGUGGGGAUGACGUCAAAUCAUCGCGGCCCUUACGUCCUGGGCUACACACGUGCUACAAUGGUAGGGACAGAGAGCAGCCACUGGGCGACCAGGAGCGAAUCUAUAAACCCUAUCACAGUUCGGAUCGGAGU